AAUUAGAAGUCAUCGGGUGGGGCUUCCAGGAACAGGCUUUUUAUAGGAGGCUGACUCAGUCUUUUGCCCCUCUUUUCCCUCUUUCUUCCUGGAACAUGGGCAGGAUGCUGAAGGCCUCUGUCUCCACGAGCCUUUUUGUCAUGUCAUAGGGAAAAGUGAAGGGAACGGGAACACCCUAGACCUAGAUAUCCUGAGGGAGUCCCCCUAGAUGGGCUCCCCAUGGUGGGGACAAAAACCUCUAAGGGCUUGAGCCAUUGUGAUUGGGUCUUGCCAUUAACACUGGGAUAGAAUCUCUACUGGACACAGGCACAGAUCCCAUUUCUGUCAUCUGAGCGAUGACAGGCCCCUGGGACUUGAUGUGCCAAAUGCUGGGUCAUCUGUCUUUCUCCGAAAGACCUCUCACACAGACAUUUCUGGAAGGAGGGAACUAAGUCUCCCCAUGCAGACCAAGUGGAUGCCAUGAGAAUACUCAGUCCCUUGAAGCUUCUGAGUCCUGUAGCGUGCGUAUGUAUUCACAAGCUAAACAUUUUUAAUUAAAAAUAUAUGUACGUCUUG